rnacentral:misc_RNA from 1 species
AAGUCGUAACAAGGUCUCCGUAGGUGAACCUGCGGAGGGAUCAUUACCGAGUGGAGGGCCCCCGGGCCCGACCUCCCACCCCCUGUUAUCCGACCCAGUUGCCUCGGGGGCGACCCGGCCUUCGGGCGUCGGGGCCCCCGGUGGACCGUCCAACCCCGUCUCUGUGCGUCCGAGUCUGACUAUGAAUCAAUCAAAACUUUCAACAACGGAUCUCUUGGUUCUG